CUUGUAGCUCAGUUGGAUAGAGCAUCGGCCUUCUAAGCCGAGGGUCGCAGGUUCGAAUCCUGCCAA
rnacentral:tRNA from 1 species